rnacentral:lncRNA from 1 species
CCCCCAUAGUGGGGUCUGGGGAGGGUAGAGUGUACGCAGACCAUACCACUACCUCCAAAAAAGUAGAGAGACUGUUUUCGAUAGACCCUCGGCUUAGGACCGAUAACAGUAUAGCAAAUCACAAAACAUAAAUGCAUAUAAACUAGUACAGUAUGCAAAAUAAACUAACAUGGUAACCAUAAGAUAAUACAAUAGCCACCAGAUACUACGAAAAAACUAUCUAGCUGAAAACAUAGACACCACUCAACACCCACGAACAAGAACUUCAAACACAAAUAAUGAAACGCUCCUACCCCCUAACCUUCUACCCUAAUUCGUAUCCUCCACACCUUUCUAUCAAGGGUCAUGUCCUCUGUCAGCUGUAAAUGCUCCAUAUCAUGCCUAAUCUCCUCCCUCCAAUAUUUUUUCGGCCUACCUCUAUCCUGCCUAAAACCAUCCAUAACCAGUGACUCACACCUCCACACUAGAGCAUUAGAGCCCCUCCAGAUCAUGUGCUCGAACCAACAUAACUGCACUUCUUGCACCUUGUCCUCCACUGAAGCCACCCCACCUUCCCCUGAAUAAUCUCAUUCCUUAUCUUAUCUUUCUUGGUAUGGCAACACAUCCACCAGAACAUUCUCAUCUCCGCCACCUUCAACUUCUGGAUGUGGGAGUUCUUAAUUGGCCAACGCUCCGCUCCGUACAAUAUAGCUGGUCGGAUUACCACUUUGUAGAACUUACCUUUUAGCUUUGAGGUAACCUUCUUAUAACAUAAAACUCCCGAAGUGAGCCUCCAUUUCAACCACCCUGCCCCAAUACGAUGCGUGACAUAAUCGUCAAUCUCGCCAUUGCCCUGAAUUAUAGACCCCAUAUACUUGAAACUCUCACACCCCUGAAUGGCUUGAGAGUCCAGCUUCACAACCACGUCAGCCUCCUAUGACAUAUCACUAAACUUACACUCCAUGUACUUCGUCUUGGUCCUGCUCAACCAAAAUCCUUUAGACUCAAGGUCUUAUCUCCAAAUCUCCAACUUAUCAUUAACUCCUCCCUAAGUCUCAUCGAUCAAUACUACCUCAUCAGCAAAUAACAUAACCAAAAGAACCUCCAUUUGAAUAUGCCGCGUCAACAUAUCCAUCAUCAAGGAAAAUAAAAAAGGGCUAAGAGUCGAUCCCUGGUGCAAACCUAUCAAAACCAAAAAGUGCUUAGAAUCACCUCCUACCAUCCUUACACGAGUCCUCACGCCAUCAUACAUAUCCUAAAUCACUCUAGUGUAUGCCACAGGCACUCCUUUAACCUCUAAGGACCUCUACUGAAUCUCUCUAGGUACUCUAUCAUAAGCUUUCUCAAUAUCAAUAAACACCAUGUGCAAGUCCUUCUUCCUCUCCUAAAACUGCUCCACUAAUCUCCUCAUAAGGUGAAUGGCCUCCGUAGUUGAGCGACCUAUUAUAAAACCGAACUGAUUCUCAGAGUAGUCACUAUCCUUCUCAGCCUCAACUCUACCACCUUUCCCAAAUCAUCAUAGUAUAACUCAACAACUUGAUAUCUCUAUAAUUAUAGCAACUCUGUAUGUCUCCCUUGUUCUUAUACAAUGCAAUCAUUGUACUAUACCUCCACACUUCAGGCUUCUUCGCCGCUCUAAAAAUAAUGCUAAAUAACUUUGUCAAUCACUCCAAACUUACCCCGCCAGUUCUCUUCCGAAAAUUCGCUAGAGUCUUAUCUAGCCUCGUUGCCCUACCCGUCCUACCCCCACGCAUCCUACGAAUAACCCUCUUGACCUCCUCCACCUUAAUACACCUACAAUAACCAUAAUCACGACACUUCUUAGAAUUCUCCAAGUCCCCCAACACAAAACCUUUAUCCUCCUCGUCAUUCAAAAUUUUAUGAAAAUAUGACUGUCACCUCUUCUAAUAUGGGAAUCCUCAACCAACACUGUACCAUCUUCUCCCUUGAUGUAUUUCACUUGGUCAAGGUCACAAUUUACAGUUACUUAAAGCUACAUUUUUUUUAAUUGAUAGAAUUGCUCCUGGUUGUCCUACCUUUCACCUUUCUAUAUAAUUACCAAGAAAAGUCAACAUUAUUUUAUUAAAAAAAUAAAAGGCCAAAGGCCUUAUUUAUUAGGAAAAAAGACAUUGUGUGGCCUUUUAAAAAAAAAAUAGCCCAAGUUUGGGCAUAUGGAAAUAUGUUUUCCGUCGGAAAAAAGGCCACUUUAUGGCCAUUGGGCCAUUUUCAGCCCUUCCUUGGGCUAUUUGGCCAUUUUAGGUCCUUCUCUUGGGCCAUUCGGCCCUUUAAUUAUUUUUUUUUGCUACAAAUUUUUUAACUAAAAAAUAUUUUUUUUCUAUUGUUAAAAAAUAAUAAUUAAAUAUAAUGGUAUAAAAAUGGUAUAAUUGUUAUAUAGAAUAUGUAUCUAUAUAAGAUAUAUGUAUAGGAAUUGUAUAGUUCUAUAAAAUAUUUAUUCGUAUAAAAUAUAUAUAUAUAAAAAUUGUAUAGAAUGUGUAUAGAAAUUUAUAGUUGAUGCAUAAAAUAUAUAUCUGAAUAAUAAUUGCAGCUAACAGUUGUAUAUAAUAUGUAUACAAAUUGUAUUAAAUUUUUAACUAAUAAAAGUCUAUUUUUUAUUUAAAAAAUAAUAAUUAAAUAUAAUUAUUUAACAAAUGUAUAAUUAUUAAAUAUAAUAUAUAUCAAUAUAAGAUAUGUGUAUGGAAACUAUAUAAAAUGUAUUAAAAAAUAACAAUUAAAUAUCACAACAACAACAAACCCAGUGUAUUCCCACCUAGUGGGGUCUGGGGGGGGUAAGAUGUACGCAGUCCAUACCUCUACCUCUGAUGAAGUAGAAAGGCUGUUUUCGAUAGACCCCCGGCUCAAGACACGAGAUACCACACAAACACAUAGUAAAGCACAGAAGCAGAUUACAUAACAUAAAUACGGCACCCAUAAGUAAUAUAAAACAGAGGAAAGCACACAGAUUCGUAAUAAAACAUGGAACACGGAAGACGGAAUCAUAACAGGAAUAAAACCCCCACCAAGUAAUUUCCUACACUAGCGACCCAAACUGGCCCUAAUCCUCUGCCGACCCCGUCUAAAACCAUCCAACGCUAGCCUCUCACACCUACGGACCGGGGCAUCCAUGCCCCUCCUCUUCACGUGUCCGAACCAUCUCAAUCGUGCUUCCCGCAUCUUACACUCCACUGAAGUCACCCCAACCUUCUCCCGGAUAGUCUCAUUCCGAGCUCUAUCCCUUCGGGUCAGUCCACACAUCCA